rnacentral:rRNA from 1 species
UACGGAGGGAGCUAGCGUUGUUCGGAAUUACUGGGCGUAAGGCGCACGUAGGCGGCUUUGUAAGUUAGAGGUGAAAGCCCGGGGCUCAACCCCGGAAUUGCCUUUAAGACUGCAUCGCUUGAAUCCAGGAGAGGUGAGUGGAAUUCCGAGUGUAGAGGUGAAAUUCGUAGAUAUUCGGAAGAACACCAGUGGCGAAGGCGGCUCACUGGACACAUAUUGACGCUGAGGUGCGAAAGCGUGGGGAGCAAACAGG